rnacentral:misc_RNA from 1 species
GAUGAAGAACGUAGCGAAAUGCGAUAAGUAAUGUGAAUUGCAGAAUUCAGUGAAUCAUCGAAUCUUUGAACGCACAUUGCGCCCGCCAGUAUUCUGGCGGGCAUGCCUGUCCGAGCGUCAUUUCAACCCUCGAACCCCUCCGGGGGGUCGGCGUUGGGGAUCGGCCCUGCCUCUUGGCGGUGGCCGUCUCCGAAAUACAGUGGCGGUCUCGCCGCAGCCUCUCCUGCGCAGUAGUUUGCACACUCGCAUCGGGAGCGCGGCGCGUCCACAGCCGUUAAACACCCAACUUCUGAAAUGUUGACCUCGGAUCAGGUAGGAAUACCCGCUGAACUUAAGCAUAUCAAAAGCGGAGGA